CGCCCAACAGCUAGCCCACCCACCCAAAAACAAUACACAACCAUUAAUACCCCCAAAUACCGUAACAUCACAAAACAAACCAUUUUUCCCCCUUAGUAUGGGAGACAGAAAAG
rnacentral:rRNA from 1 species